CCGAGGCCAGGAGGAGCAGAGUGUCAAAUGCAGUGGCAUCGUGAGCUGCGUGUGACUGCGCUCAGCUCUCCCUUCCUGCAACGCAACAGAGGCCUUGCCUGGGGUCCGAACUGGGUCGUGAAGAGGAAACGGGCAUCACAAGGCGGGUCACGUGGACAAAGACUUAGCGGAAGGAACUCAAGUCACUGUGUUCACAGAACUUAAAGUAGACAGAUUUUUAUUGGGGCUUAAAUUGCAAAGAAGUGAGCCCUGGGAAUACAAGCAUCAAAUGAGGACACCAAUCCACUCUGUUGUCAGAGGCAGCCAGAGGUCCUUUUGUAUGCAGUCUGGCCACAUGCAAGUCACAAGUCAACUUGUAUCCUCCAACUGUGGCAACAAUUAUCUUCUAAGUAAAUCAGAAAUUUCAGAUGCAUACUCCAUAAAAAGAAAAUCUCUUUUCAAAGGGAACACAGAGGGCCAACUGAAAAACAAUAUUAUGACUGGCUAAACAAUAAAUACACAGAAACAAGUGGGGAUGGUCACUGAAGCAUCGUCAUACUGAAGACCUGGAAAUCACCUAAAUGUCCAACAACGGGACAGCGAAGAAAUAGAAGUAUGCACAUGCAGUAAAAUACUAUACGGCAGUUAAA